AACAACGAACUUGUUAUCCUGUUUUAAUAAUUUAAAUCACACUAAUGUUUACAGGUACUAACAAUCAAUACACAUGUUCACACUGUAUCAACAACGAACUUGUUAUCCUGUUUUAAUAAUUCAAAUCACACUAAUGUUUAAAGGGACUAACAAACUUCUACAUGGUACGUCCUGUAACUCACGUUUUAGGCUUACUUUAUACUACUUUAAUUAUUAUUUUUUUAUUAGUAUGUAUGUGUGUGUGUGUGUGUGUCAAACUAAGGUUUUAAUUAGAGAAAAUCACACAUUAUCGUCCUACGACAAGGUUCCCACGUGACCAAAAGUACACUUCGAAUAUCCAACAAUGAAGUCAUCCAUGAACGAAAAGCGUCUAUAAGGUUGUUAACAGCACUUCGUCUGGGCUCUUUAAAAUCCCCUUAUGUUAAUCCCCAGCUCAACGAGUGCCAACGUUUUAAAGAGUUUGUCCGCAUGUGCCCUCGUAGUUUUAAACACCCAGGAUUAAUUCUCUAAUUUAUCCGGUCCGAUUUUAGUAAAA